GGUUUUCUAUUUACUCUGGUGAUAGAGUUUUCCUUUUGAAUUAAAGUUUCUUAAUAAAAACAAAAAUGGAGUUGCUAAGCAACAUACACUGAUGUUAGAGUUGGCAGAAAUGGCCAAAGGACCGGGGCAUGGAUGAAAUCACACUCCUGGGUUGCUCCAAAAUGUUCAGUAAAAUGUGUCUCUAUUAGCUACUUGGGGAUGUGGAACUUGGAGAUGUGAAAAGCAGAAGAAGAAGCCCACGAUGUGGUUGGAUGGACAGCUGAGUUGGGGGAAAUCAUGCUGUUUUUAGCACUGGUAUAAGCAGACAAUUGAAUCCUAGACUUUGGGGACGGGGUCUGCCUGGGAACUUGUUUCCAGGAGUGUGACUGAAGUGAAGGGCCAGUCAGAGGAGGUGCCGCAACCCC
rnacentral:lncRNA from 1 species